rnacentral:rRNA from 1 species
AAAGGAGCGAUCCGGUGACGGAUGGGCAUGCGUGACAUUAGCUAGUCGGCGGGGUAACGGCCCACCGAGGCGACGAUGUCUAGGGGUUCUGAGAGGAAGGUCCCCCACACUGGUACUGAGACACGGACCAGACUCCUACGGGAGGCAGCAGUGAGGAAUAUUGGUCAAUGGGCUUACGCCUGAACCAGCCAAGUCGCGUGAGGGAAGACUGCCCUAUGGGUUGUAAACCUCUUUUGUCAGGGAGCAACGCCGGCUACGUGUAGCCGGACUGAGAGUACCUGAAGAAAAAGCAUCGGCUAACUCCGUGCCAGCAGCCGCGGUAAUACGGAGGAUGCGAGCGUUAUCCGGAUUUAUUGGGUUUAAAGGGUGCGUAGGCGGAAUGCCAAGUCAGCGGUAAAAUCGCGGGGCUCAACCUCGCUCCGCCGUCGAAACUGGCGUUCUUGAGUGGGCGAGAAGUAUGCGGAAUGCGUGGUGUAGCGGUGAAAUGCAUAGAUAUCACGCAGAACUCCGAUUGCGAAGGCAGCAUACCGGCGCCCAACUGACGCUGAAGCACGAAAGCGUGGGUAUCGAACAGGAUUAGAUACCCUGGUAGUCCACGCAGUAAACGAUGAAUACUAGCUGUUCGGGGCAAAUGAGCCUUGA